rnacentral:rRNA from 1 species
CGCCUUGCCAGCCCGCUACAGAACUUAAAUGAAUUGACGGGGCCCGGCACAAGCGGUGGAGUAUGUGGUUUAAUUCGAUGCAACGCGAAGAACCUUACCUGGUCUUGACAUCCCGGAGACCCUUAGGGAAACUAGGGGGUGCUUCCAUCUGGAAGAAUCUGGAGACAGGUGCUGCAUGGCUGUCGUCAGCUCGUGUCGUGAGAUGUUGGGUUAAGUCCCGCAACGAGCGCAACCCUUGCCUUUAGUUGCCAGCAGUUCGGCUGGGCACUCUAAAGGGACUGCCGGUGUUAAACCGGAGGAAGGUGGGGAUGACGUCAAGUCCUCAUGGCCUUUAUGACCAGGGCUACACACGUACUACAAUGGCCGAUACAAAGGGCAGCGACACUGCGAGGUGAAGCCAAUCCCGUAAAAUCGGUCUCAGUCCGGAUUGGAGUCUGCAACUCGACUCCAUGAAGUUGGAAUCGCUAGUAAUCGUGGAUCAGCAUGCCACGGUGAAUACGUUCCCGGGCCUU